rnacentral:rRNA from 1 species
UACGAAGGGGGCUAGCGUUGCUCGGAAUCACUGGGCGUAAAGGGCGCGUAGGCGGCUUGCCAAGUCAGGGGUGAAAUCUUUCGGCUUAACCGGAAAAGUGCCUCUGAUACUGGCGAGCUAGAGGGAGGUAGGGGCAUGUGGAACUUCCGGUGGAGCGGUGAAAUGCGUUGAUAUCGGAAGGAACGCCGGUGGCGAAAGCGACGUGCUGGAUCUCUUCUGACGCUGAGGCGCGAAAGCUAGGGGAGCGAACGGG